rnacentral:rRNA from 1 species
UACGUAGGGUGCAAGCGUUAAUCGGAAUUACUGGGCGUAAAGCGUGCGCAGGCGGUUUUGUAAGUCAGAUGUGAAAUCCCCGGGCUUAACCUGGGAACUGCGUUUGAAACUACAAGGCUAGAGUGUGGCAGAGGGGGGUGGAAUUCCACGUGUAGCAGUGAAGUGCGUAGAGAUGUGGAGGAACACCGAUGGCGAAGGCAGCCCCCUGGGUUAACACUGACGCUCAGGCACGAAAGCGUGGGGAGCAAACAGG